UCGUCUUGCACGUGAUUUGAUCCCAACCAUGUGUCUAAUAGAAAUCGAUAAGGCACAGUUGUAAAUAAAAAGAAGGCACUGAGAUAAUUUCGUAAAUAAGAUGCUCCCCAAUUGCUAUACGACGCCGUGCCUCCUAGGGUUUGGCAAACGCAGGAUUUAGCCGCCCGUGUCUCUCGCUCGGUCUCUCGUGUUUUGAUCCGUCGCUUCUGCUAUGUUUUCCCGCUCGAUCUGCUUUAUAAGAGGGAGGGCGAUGAAGAAGACGAUAUCAAUCAAAGACGCUGUGCUGCGAUGAACGAAGCAUUACUUCGAUCGACGGCAUUGUUCCGUGAGAUGGGAAUUUGUUCCUGAGCGGUUACCUGAGCAGCAAGCGGAACCCUAAAAAGAAAAGACUUGUGUUUCUUUGUUCACUGCGCUGAUGUGCAGUAACAUUUUAUUAUUGUUUUCUCGACAUGUUUUCUACUUGAAAAAAAAAAAAGACUUAUUUUUUGAAUAAAUGGUUUGAUAAUAUUA